rnacentral:misc_RNA from 1 species
GUGAAUCAUCGAAUUUUUGAACGCAAAUUGCGCUUCCUGGCAUCCCGGGAAGUAUGCCUGUUUGAGGGUCAGUAGUAUCAAAAAUCCGGGUGGGUUGCAUAUUGUGACGUUGCUGGAGUCUGGGUUAUCUUAACUUUUAUGGGUAAGUGGCUUAAAAUUGACCUUAUUUUCGCAUUUUUAGACGCA